UUCGCAAUGCCCGAAAGGGUGACGAAGCGACGCCGCGUGGGUGAGGAAGGCCUUCGGGUUGUAAAGCCCUGUCAGGAGUUAAGAAAUGUAGACUCGCUAAUAUCGGGUCUAUUUGACAAAGGCUCCAAAGGAAGCCACGGCUAACUCUGUGCCAGCAGCCGCGGUAAUACAGAGGUGGCAAGCGUUGUUCGGAAUUAUUGGGCGUAAAGAGCACGUAGGUGGAUUUGUAAGUCAGACGUGAAAGCCUUCUGUUCAACGGAAGAAUUGCAUCUGAAACUACAAACCUUGAGUGUAGGAGGGGAGAAUGGAACCUCUGGUGGAGCGGUGAAAUGCGUAGAUAUCAGAAGGAACGCCGGCGGCGAAAGCGACUCUCUGGCCUAUUACUGACACUGAGUGUGCGAAAGUUAGGGGAGCAAACGGGAUUAGAUACCCCGGUAGUCCUAGCCGUAAACGAUGGGCACUAAGUAGAGGGGUUUU
rnacentral:rRNA from 2 species